rnacentral:rRNA from 1 species
AUUGAACGCUGGCGGCAUGAUUUACACAUGCAAGUCGAACGGUAACAGGCCGCAAGGUGCUGACGAGUGGCGAACGGGUGAGUAAUGCAUCGGAACGUGCCCAGUCGUGGGGGAUAACUACUCGAAAGAGUAGCUAAUACCGCAUACGAUCUAUGGAUGAAAGCGGGGGACCGUAAGGCCUCGCGCGAUUGGAGCGGCCGAUGUCAGAUUAGGUAGUUGGUGGGGUAAAGGCUCACCAAGCCAACGAUCUGUAGCUGGUCUGAGAGGACGACCAGCCACACUGGGACUGAGACACGGCCCAGACUCCUACGGGAGGCAGCAGUGGGGAAUUUUGGACAAUGGGCGCAAGCCUGAUCCAGCAAUGCCGCGUGCAGGAAGAAGGCCUUCGGGUUGUAAACUGCUUUUGUACGGAACGAAACGGCUCUGGUUAAUACCCGGGGCUAAUGACGGUACCGGAAGAAUAAGCACCGGCUAACUACGUG